ACCCGCUGAACUUAAGCAUAUCAAUAAGCGGAGGAAAAGAAACUAACAAGGAUUCCCCUAGUAACGGCGAGUGAAGCGGGAAGAGCUCAAAUUUAAAAUCUGGCGGCCUAAGGUCGUCCGAGUUGUAGUCUAGAGAAGUGUUUUCCGUGCUGGACCGUGUACAAGUCCCUUGGAACAGGGCGUCAUAGAGGGUGAGAAUCCCGUCUUUGACACGGACUACCAGUGCUCUGUGAUGCACUCUCGAAGAGUCGAGUUGUUUGGGAAUGCAGCUCAAAUCGGGUGGUAAAUUCCAUCUAAAGCUAAAUAUUGGCGAAAGACCGAUAGCGAACAAGUACCGUGAGGGAAAGAUGAAAAGCACUUUGGAAAGAGAGUUAAACAGUACGUGAAAUUGUUGAAAGGGAAACGCUUGAAGUCAGUCGCGUCUUGCGGGAUUCAGCCUUGCUUUGCCUGGUGUACUUCCUGUUUGACGGGCCAGCAUCAAUUUUGACCGUUGGAAAAAGGCUUUGGGAAUGUGGCACCUCCGGGUGUGUUAUAGCCCUUUGUCAUAUACAACGGUUGGGAUUGAGGACUGCAGCACGCCUUUAUGGCCGGGGUUCGCCCACGUAACGUGCUUAGGAUGCUGGCGUAAUGGCUUUAAGCGACCCGUCUUGAAACACGG
rnacentral:rRNA from 1 species